GACGAACGCUGGCGGCGUGCUUAACACAUGCAAGUCGAACGGAAAGGCCCUGCUUUUGUGGGGUGCUCGAGUGGCGAACGGGUGAGUAACACGUGAGUAACCUGCCCUUGACUUUGGGAUAACUUCAGGAAACUGGGGCUAAUACCGGAUAGGAGCUCCUGCUGCAUGGUGGGGGUUGGAAAGUUUCGGCGGUUGGGGAUGGACUCGCGGCUUAUCAGCUUGUUGGUGGGGUAGUGGCUUACCAAGGCUUUGACGGGUAGCCGGCCUGAGAGGGUGACCGGCCACAUUGGGACUGAGAUACGGCCCAGACUCCUACGGGAGGCAGCAGUGGGGAAUAUUGCACAAUGGGCGGAAGCCUGAUGCAGCAACGCCGCGUGCGGGAUGACGGCCUUCGGGUUGUAAACCGCUUUCGCCUGUGACGAAGCGUGAGUGACGGUAAUGGGUAAAGAAGCACCGGCUAACUACGUGCCAGCAGCCGCGGUGAUACGUAGGGUGCGAGCGUUGUCCGGAUUUAUUGGGCGUAAAGGGCUCGUAGGUGGUUGAUCGCGUCGGAAGUGUAAUCUUGGGGCUUAACCCUGAGCGUGCUUUCGAUACGGGUUGACUUGAGGAAGGUAGGGGAGAAUGGAAUUCCUGGUGGAGCGGUGGAAUGCGCAGAUAUCAGGAGGAACACCAGUGGCGAAGGCGGUUCUCUGGGCCUUUCCUGACGCUGAGGAGCGAAAGCGUGGGGAGCGAACAGGCUUAGAUACCCUGGUAGUCCACGCUGUAAACGGUGGGUACUAGGUGUGGGGUCCAUUCCACGGGUUCCGUGCCGUAGCUAACGCUUUAAGUACCCCGCCUGGGGAGUACGGCCGCAAGGCUAAAACUCAAAGGAAUUGACGGGGCCCCGCACAAGCGGCGGAGCAUGCGGAUUAAUUCGAUGCAACGCGUAGAACCUUACCUGGGUUUGACAUGGAUCGGGAGUGCUCAGAGAUGGGUGUGCCUCUUUUGGGGUCGGUUCACAGGUGGUGCAUGGCUGUCGUCAGCUCGUGUCGUGAGAUGUUGGGUUAAGUCCCGCAACGAGCGCAACCCUUGUUCACUGUUGCCAGCACGUUAUGGUGGGGACUCAGUGGAGACCGCCGGGGUCAACUCGGAGGAAGGUGGGGAUGACGUCAAGUCAUCAUGCCCCUUAUGUCCAGGGCUUCACGCAUGCUACAAUGGCUGGUACAGAGAGUGGCGAGCCUGUGAGGGUGAGCGAAUCUCGGAAAGCCGGUCUCAGUUCGGAUUGAGGUCUGCAACUCGACCUCAUGAAGUCGGAGUCGCUAGUAAUCGCAGAUCAGCAACGCUGCGGUGAAUACGUUCCCGGG
rnacentral:rRNA from 1 species